CUCCGCCCUCUGCAGACCUUCACGCCACUCCAGGGGAUGCAACCAGCUCCCCUUUCAAAGGUGCAGGUUUCAGCAGCCGCCGGCUCUCUCCGCAAAGACUUUAAUUCGAGGUCUCAUCUGAGCCGAGGAACCGGCCUGAACCUCUUCUUUGGUUAACACCCACUUGGAAACCUCUCUUCACAUCAGAUUUCUGUCCAGUACUUCUCACUGACCAGGCUGAAAAGUGUCAACAAAGGGGAGUGGGGUGCUGACCUGAGUAAAUGUGGAAAUGAGUGGAGUCUGUAAAACUGAAGGCAAAAGGAACUGCACAUAAGCAUUGUGCUCUAAUUGAUGAUAGAGUUCAUGAUUCUGAUGCUGCUAUACAAGCAUAAUGGAAUCAAGUAGGUAAGUAGAUGGAUGGCACAGAGUGAGAGCCACGUUUCUCAACUGUGCAGUGAGAUUCAGGUAAGAAAGUGGUAUGAAUUGGGAGGAGGCUAGAAUAAUUCAAUUGGUACUGGAUUUGAAUUGGUAACAUUAGUAAGAGCUCAUGUUUAGUCUAAUGUAGAUACUAAUGACUACAUAUAGGAAUAUUUAUAGAUGUGUGUGUAUUAUAUACAUGUACGAAAGCCCAGCACACGAAAUUGUGGAGGCAGGGUCCCUAGGCCUAGCCUGCGAUCAGAGCCAUCUUCUGCCCGUUGGCCAGUCCCCAAGCCAAACACUGCCUCCGCUGCUGGGUGGGUGGGUCGCGGGUGUGCCCCGCAGCUUCCAUCAGCGCCACAAGCCCCAGCAGCAGCGGCAGCAGCAGCGAGCAGCCCCCCUCGAGCUGGCAGAGCGUUCCAUCUGCGGCCAGCCCCUGUGCACGCACAUGGAGGUGAAGUGGCCAGCGCCCGUUUUCCCACAGACCUGAGCCCCCGAGCAGCCAGGGAUGAGCUGGGGAUCCCAAUGGCUUGACAGCCAGCUGGGUCCUCCUGCCACCCCACCCACCCGGGUUCCCCAGAUCACCAUCACUGGUCCAUUGGAGCCUACGGGCCGGGGGGAGGGACCAAGAGGUCAGCCGUUCCUCCCUCUUGCCAGUCCCCCGUCCUGCCCCGCCGCCACCCACCCACUUCCCUGUGGUUCCCCGUUUGCCUGUGGGCAGAGGUGAAGGAUGGAGGAGGUGGGGGAGGGGAGGAACCAAGAGGUGGUCAAUGCACCUUAUGGCAACUGGUCGAGCAGUCAUUCCAGUCAUUACGUUUAUGGUCCCUGGCCUUUUACUAUAUAGGAUAUGUCUUUGUCAGAUGAGAGAGCUCAAAAGAGCUAACACCCCAGUAGCAAUGCAUACAAUUUAUGCCCAUGGUAUUGGUUUCUAAUACCAUUUCCAAUAAAAGGAACCAGGGUUUCUUGGAGAAAUGGCUGAUUUCAGGAUUAGCAAAGAAGUAUACAAGAUGAGCAUGGAACAUCUUAGAAUGUCAGAAAAGUAAGGAAAUACAAAAAUGAAAACAAAACAAAUAAACAACGAAACACCACAUUCAUGAGGGUCUGUCAAAGGAACUCAGGAGCCAAAGGAAGAAGCUCCCAAUGGCCAAAGCUAGAAUGAUUUGAGCCACAAAAUUAUUAAAGCACUAGUGGCCUGGUGCACAAAAUUCAUGCAUGGCGGGGGUGUCCCUCAGCCCAGCCUGCACCUCUCCAAUCUGGGACAUCCCUCUCGCUAUCCGGGACCGCUGGCUCCUAAC